UGCCAGCAGCCGCGGUAAUACGUAGGGGGCUAACGUUGUUCGGAAUCAUUGGGCGUAAAGAGCACGUAGGCUGUUUAAUAAGUUAAGUGUGAAAUCCCUGAGCUCAACUCAGGAACUGCAUUUAAAACUGUUAAACUAGAGUAUGAUAGAAGGUAAUGGAAUUUCUAGUGUAGAGGUGAAAUUCGUAGAUAUUAGAAGGAACACCAAAGGCGAAGGCAAUUAUCCGGGUCAUUACUGACGUUGAGGUGCGAAAGCAUGGGUAGCGGAGAGGAUUAGAUA
rnacentral:rRNA from 1 species